AGCAGCAUGGCGCAGAUGGAAGCGCGCGGGGCCCAUAUCUUACGUAAUCACCCGCUUAUAAGGACCAACCCCGAGGUCACUCGAUCGAAACGAGUUGCUGCUA